GAUGAACGCUGGCGGCGUGCUUAACACAUGCAAGUCGAACGAAGCACUUUUGAUUGAUCCUUCGGGUGAUUGAUAAGGUGACUGAGUGGCGGACGGGUGAGUAACGCGUGGGCAACCUGCCUUGUACAGGGGGACAACAGUUGGAAAUGACUGCUAAUACCGCAUAAGCGCACAGCUUCGCAUGAAGCAGUGUGAAAAACUCCGGUGGUACAAGAUGGGCCCGCGUUGGAUUAGCUAGUUGGUGGGGUAACGGCCUACCAAGGCGACGAUCCAUAGCCGACCUGAGAGGGUGACCGGCCACAUUGGGACUGAGACACGGCCCAA
rnacentral:rRNA from 1 species